ensembl:lncRNA PVT1 Pvt1 oncogene
AUGUGAGGGUUUGUUGGGUGCUCCUAAACCCUCAUCAUGGUCAUUCUUCUUGGCUGGGCUGUUGAUUUAAUUAGGUUUGCCUUCUCUUGCUAACGUGCUCUUAUUUAUGCCAGUGUUUGUGGUUCUGGGUGUAGACUUUCAGGAAGCACAGCCAUGAAGCUGCAUGCGUCUGUGUGUGGAUGCCUCAUGCCUUUUCCUGGUGGUUUGCAGGCAUGGAAGAUUCUUCUGUUCAUCUAAGCUCCUGACUUUAGGCCCUUCUAGAACAUUAGAGAGGAGAAGAAAUCACGUGCAAGGAUUUAGGGACAAGAGGAUGAGGUUUUGGUGUUUCCUUUCUGGUAUUAGGUUUUCCAGAGAGAGGCUGUUAGCCUGUCUCUCGCCCACUCCACCACUGUGAAUCCUGGCUACUGGGGCUAGUUCCUUGCUAGGAAAAAAAAACUCUAGAGAAAUGUGUUUGUGUGUGGUGGGUGGGCGGGGGCCCUGAGGAUGCAGGGACUGUGUCUGCUGUGUUGUCUGUUAUAAGAUGUUUCAGACCUAUUUUGCAUACUGGCAGCGACAAGUUGAGACUUGUUCAACUUGACACAGUCCUGUGGUCAUAGCGAAUCUUUCUAAAGCUCUGAUCAGUCAAGAAGGGGGUUGUAUCAAUCCUCAGAACCCUGAGUGGAACUUUCUACAGGAUUUAUUAGGAGAAAAACCUUCCCGGAAGCUGCAGAAGGACAAAUACAGAAUCCGUGUCUGGGAGAAACCUCGUGGCCUGGUCUCCAUUAUUUGAGAUGAGUUACAUCUUGGAGGACCAUAGCUGUCUGCAGUGCAGGAAGCCAACUAUUAAGGGGAAACAAAAGUGUUCUUAGGAGUCCUGCUGUCACUGUGGAUUGAGCCGGUGAAGCCCUGAGGGAUUUCAUCGCUGAGGUGGAUGGAGAAGCAGCUGGGGGCCUUGGCUGUAAGGACCCCUAAGGGCCUGAUCUUUUGGCCAGAAGGAGAUUAAAAAGAUGCCCCUCAAGAUGGCUGUGCCUGUCAGCUGCAUGGAGCUUCGUUCAAGUAUUUUCUGAGCCUGAUGGAUUUACAGUGAUCUUCAGUGGUCUGGGGAAUAACGCUGGUGGAACCAUGCACUGGAAUGACACACGCCCGGCACAUUUCAGGAUACUAAAAGUGGUUUUAAGGGAGGCUGUGGCUGAAUGCCUCAUGGAUUCUUACAGCUUGGAUGUCCAUGGGGGACGAAGGACUGCAGCUGGCUGAGAGGGUUGAGAUCUCUGUUUACUUAGAUCUCUGCCAACUUCCUUUGGGUCUCCCUAUGGAAUGUAAGACCCCGACUCUUCCUGGUGAAGCAUCUGAUGCACGUUCCAUCCGGCGCUCAGCUGGGCUUGAGGACUUCGCAGGUGAGCAGUAACGGAAAUCAGCCCCGUUUAUUCCUCCCAGCACCUGCCUUAUCCAACUCCCCACGCUGUGGCUGAGUCCCAGCCUGCUAUGGAAGCAUCACUGGACUCCCAUUGAACUCUGUGCAGAUUCGCUGUUCGUAGACAUGGUACCUGAUGGACACCAAGCUACGUACAGCUUCAAGGCCCCUUCUUUCUUUGCUAAUAAAAAAUAAAAAAUAAAAACAUAAUACACGUUAUAUUUCUAUC